rnacentral:rRNA from 1 species
UGUUGAGGAAGAUAAUGACGGUACUCAACAAGGAAGUGACGGCUAACUACGUGCCAGCAGCCGCGGUAAAACGUAGGUCACAAGCGUUGUCCGGAAUUACUGGGUGUAAAGGGAGCGCAGGCGGGAAGACAAGUUGGAAGUGAAAUCCAUGGGCUCAACCCAUGAACUGCUUUCAAAACUGUUUUUCUUGAGUAGUGCAGAGGUAGGCGGAAUUCCCGGUGUAGCGGUGGAAUGCGUAGAUAUCGGGAGGAACACCAGUGGCGAAGGCGGCCUACUGGGCACCAACUGACGCUGAGGCUCGAAAGUGUGGGUAGCAAACAGGAUUAGAUACCCUGGUAGUCCACACUGUAAACGAUGAUUACUAGGUGUUGGAGGAUUGACCCCUUCAGUGCCGCAGUUAACACAAUAAGUAAUCCACCUGGGGAGUACGACCGCAAGGUUGAAACUCAAAGGAAUUGACGGGGGCCCGCACAAGCAGUGGAGUAUGUGGUUUAAUUCGACGCAACGCGAAGAACCUUACCAAGUCUUGACAUCCCUUGACGAUGCUGGAAACAGUAUUUCUCUUCGGAGCAAGGAGACAGGUGGUGCAUGGUUGUCGUCAGCUCGUGUCGUGAGAUGUUGGGUUAAGUCCCGCAACGAGCGCAACCCUUAUGGUCAGUUACUACGCAAGAGGACUCUGGCCAGACUGC